rnacentral:rRNA from 1 species
UACGAAGGGUGCAAACGUUGCUCGGAAUUAUUGGGCGUAAAGCGCACGUAGGCGGCUUGCAAGUCGGAUGUGAAAUCCCUCGGCUUAACCAAGGAAGUGCAUCCGAAACUGCAGAGCUUGAGUACUUAAGAGGAUCGCGGAAUUCCCGGUGUAGAGGUGAAUUCGUAGAUAGUCGGGAGGAACACCAGUGGCGAAGGCGGCGAUCUGGGAAGAUACUGACGCUGAGGCACGGAAAGCGUGGGGAGCGAACAGG